CUGAUUAGGUUAUAUAUCUUUGGGUUUAUAUCCUUCUAGAAUAUAAACCCUUACAUUACAAAAUUUUCAGACUCUGUCUUUACUGAGCCAGAACAUACCACUUUCCUAAAAUCAUGGGAAAAGCUGCUGAAGAGUAUUCCUAGCAGUUCUGUCAUUAUAUAGAGUUUGGUCCUCCUUUAGAUUAGAUCAAAAGACCCUAAACUUUACAGAUUAAGUUGCUUAUAAGAAAAGUUAUUUAUAUGCAUAGGUGUGCCUUCAUUGCCUGUUAUUUUGAAGGAUUCUUUACCAUAGAUGAAGCAUUUCCCAAAAUGGGAAUGGAAAUUUUUCUUUUUCUCAGGGGGCAAUGAGGACACAAGUAUCAAAAUGCAUUGCCGGAUCACUUGGAGCUCAUAUAUGUGUAAGCAAUAGAUGGAAAAAUAGUUUCAUUGAUAUAUACCCAAAAGAAAUUCAUUUUUCAUUAUUUUUUGGAAUAAACCAGGUCUAAAACUUAAAGAUUUGAUGAUAAACAACUUCUUCUUUCCGAACAAAAUUGUGUUCACCUAUCUAUAUAUAGAGAGAUAGAUAUAUACAUACACAUAUACACACACAUAUUCAAACAUAUGUUUAAUCAUACACAUAUUUUCUUUUCUAAAAGGACUGACAGCAGGAAAUAGCCACCAUUCCUGACUGAGACGUAACAUGAGGUGUAAACAAUCUCAUUCAAAAAAUCCUCGAAUACAUGCAGUCAGCUUACCCAGUACUUAAAGAAGAAUGCAAAUAAACAGAAGAGAACAGCCUAAAUGCUGGUAUUAAUUUUCAGUUAUUCAGUUAUUCAUUUAAUAUGAAUUGUGAACUCUUCAGGAACUUUAAAGGGUCCAGCCUUGUUGACUUCAGCUAAAGCUUUUUCUGCAUCAGAUUAGAAGAUCAUGCUUUCAGUGAAAGUCAGCUGAUAAUAGGAAGUUUGCUUUCUGGUCCCUGCUGUCCCCAUGAAACCAACACGUUAAUCCAGUUUUCAGUACUGAUUUCUAUCCUUCCUCACAGCUGAGGAUAUGUUUGUUUGUUUUGGAGAGUCUUUUGAGUUUAUGUAUGAGGGGAGGGAGUUAAAAUUUAAUUUUCUCUGCCUCUUACCCUAUAAUCUGUUUCUGACAUAUGUCUGUGUGGAGCUUGAGCUGAGCUCUCUUCUAGCUAAACUGUUUAGUGAAUUAUUAUCUCAUGAUUACCAGUGAGCACAAAGUUUGUAUUAGUAAAAUAUUAUAGGUCACAGUUCUGAAAUGGCUGAAUGACUUCACCUAAAUGAUAUAGUCAACAUAUUUAACAACAGCUGUGUUAUCUACCAGACUUGAAUGUCCACCACUAUGGUAAUAAAAGACAAACCAACUGCUAAAUGAAA